AUGCAAGUCGAAUGGGUUUAGACACAUGGCAAACGGGUGAGUAACACAUUGGUAACUUACCUCGAAGUUCAGAAUAAUCCUCCGAAAGGAGGGAUAAUACUGGAUGUGGUCACCAAACGAAUGUUUGGUGAGUAAAGAUUUAUCGCUUCGAGAGAGACCUAUGUCUUAUCAGCUAGUUGGUAGUGUAAAGGACUACCAAGGCUUUGACGAGUAGCGGGUGUGAGAGCACGACCCGCCUCACUGGGACUGAGACACUGCCCAGACUCC
rnacentral:rRNA from 1 species